rnacentral:lncRNA from 1 species
GGCCUCCAAGUUUAUAAAGUUAUUUGCUGAUUUUUGUUUUUAGACAAAUUUGUAAUAUAUUUGCCCCAUUAAACAAAUCAUGUUUGCAUGAAAUUGACCUGUUGAAAAGUCAAUACUUUAAUGUGUAUCAAUUUUCUUUUUUAAUCCUUAACUUUUUAAAAAUAAUAUUGUGAUUUCCACAAUGUAUACUUAUAGAUUAUCGUUGAUCAUCUCAACAAGAUCGAUUUUCUUGCAUGAGCUGGGACGGACAAAGCGAAAAAAGCAAUCAAGCUAAGAUGACCAGUGAUAAUCUGUUUAUUGCUAUUUUAUCUAUGACGACAUGUCAAUUUCCUUAGCAAUGCCACCUGCCUCCUUAGUUUUUAGCGUUAAUUUUCCAUCUCAAGCGAGUAGCAUGAUAUGAAAAAUUAUCACAAAAAAGGAUUAAAGGAAAAAUGCACAAAAGAGCGAUAAUGUGUUUUAUUCAUGGUGUUCCUUUCCAUGAUAUUCACUGUAUUUUAUUCAAAACUUUUGUUUUACACAAAUGUAAAGCCUUUAAUUUAAUAUAAAAGAAAAGAGACUUCUCUAAAAUAUUUAUAUCAAUAUAAGAAAUAAGAUGUGGUGUGAUUGCCAAUAUAUGCUCAAUAUAACGAGUUGUUUCAUUGACACUCAUACCACAUCUUCUUAGCUAUAUCAAAACAAUAAAGAAAAACAAAUAUGUCAGACAACAAC